CUACGGGGGGCUGCAGGCGGGGAUUUUUUGCAAUGUACGCAAGUAUGACAAAGCGAACCAGAGUGUUUCUCUUAACGAGAAACUUUUGUCAGCUGUAAAAAGGCUGAUGAAUAAGGACUGGGCAAGACCGGUGUCAGCCGCCGCGGUAAUCCCGGCGGUCCAAGUCGCAGCCAUUUUUAUUGGGUCUAAAACAUCCGUAGCUUGCUCUGUAAGUCUCUUGUGAAAUUUUAUCUCUCAAAGAUAAAGCGUGCAAGAGAUACUGCAAAGCUAGAGGCCGGGGGAUGUGAAGAGUACAUUCAAGGUAGUGGUAAAAUACGUUAAUCUUGAAUGGACUAACAAUAGCGAAGGCACUUCACAACAACGGUUCUGACAGUGAGGGAUGAAGGCUAGGGGCGCAAAACGGAUUAGAUACCCGAGUAGUC
rnacentral:rRNA from 1 species